ACUCCUACGGGAGGCAGCAGUGGGGAAUAUUGCACAAUGGGGGGAAACCCUGAUGCAGCCAUGCCGCGUGUGUGAAGAAGGCCUUCGGGUUGUAAAGCACUUUCAGUAGGGAGGAAGGUAGUGUAGUUAACACCUGCAUUAUUUGACGUUACCUACAGAAGAAGCACCGGCUAACUCCGUGCCAGCAGCCGCGGUAAUACGGAGGGUGCGAGCGUUAAUCGGAAUUACUGGGCGUAAAGCGCAUGCAGGUGGUUUGUUAAGUCAGAUGUGAAAGCCCGGGGGCUCAACCUCGGAAUUGCAUUUGAAACUGGCAGACUAGAGUACUGUAGAGGGGGGUAGAAUUUCAGGUGUAGCGGUGAAAUGCGUAGAGAUCUGAAGGAAUACCGGUGGCGAAGGCGGCCCCCUGGACAGAUACUGACACUCAGAUGCGAAAGCGUGGGGAGCAAACAGGAUUAGAUACCCUGGUAGGAUAGCG
rnacentral:rRNA from 1 species